rnacentral:rRNA from 1 species
UGGGGAAUAUUGGGCAAUGGGCGAAAGCCUGACCCAGCAACGCCGCGUGAAGGAAGAAGGCCUUCGGGUUGUAAACUUCUUUUAAGAGGGACGAAGAAGUGACGGUACCUCUUGAAUAAGCCACGGCUAACUACGUGCCAGCAGCCGCGGUAAUACGUAGGUGGCGAGCGUUGUCCGGAUUUACUGGGUGUAAAGGGCGUGCAGCCGGGCCGGCAAGUCAGAUGUGAAAUCCCCAGGCUCAACCUGGGGAACUGCAUUUGAAACUGUUGGUCUUGAGUAUCGGAGAGGUAAUCGGAAUUCCUUGUGUAGCGGUGAAAUGCGUAGAUAUAAGGAAGAACACCAGUGGCGAAG